rnacentral:rRNA from 1 species
AUUGAACGCUGGCGGCAUGCUUUACACAUGCAAGUCGAACGGUAACAGGCCGCAAGGUGCUGACGAGUGGCGAACGGGUGAGUAAUGCAUCGGAACGUGCCCAGUCGUGGGGGAUAACUACUCGAAAGAGUAGCUAAUACCGCAUACGACCUAAGGAUGAAAGCGGGGGACCGUAAGGCCUCGCGCGAUUGGAGCGGCCGCUGUCAGAUUAGGUAGUUGGUGGGGUAAAGGCUCACCAAGCCAACGAUCUGUAGCUGGUCUGAGAGGACGACCAGCCACACUGGGACUGAGACACGGCCCAGACUCCUACGGGAGGCAGCAGUGGGGAAUUUUGGACAAUGGGCGCAAGCCUGAUCCAGCAAUGCCGCGUGCAGGAAGAAGGCCUUCGGGUUGUAAACUGCUUUUGUACGGAACGAAACGGCUCUGGUUAAUACCCGGGGCUAAUGACGGUACCGUAAGAAUAAGCACCGGCUAACUACGUG